AAGUCGAACGGCAGCACAGUAAGAGUUUGCUCUUAUGGGUGGCGAGUGGCGGACGGGUGAGGAAUACAUCGGAAUCUACUCUUUCGUGGGGGAUAACGUAGGGAAACUUACGCUAAUACCGCAUACGACCUACGGGUGAAAGCGGAGGACCUUCGGGCUUCGCGCGGUUGAAUGAGCCGAUGUCGGAUUAGCUAGUUGGCGGGGUAAAGGCCCACCAAGGCGACGAUCCGUAGCUGGUCUGAGAGGAUGAUCAGCCACACUGGAACUGAGACACGGUCCAGACUCCUACGGGAGGCAGCAGUGGGGAAUAUUGGACAAUGGGCGCAAGCCUGAUCCAGCCAUGCCGCGUGGGUGAAGAAGGCCUUCGGGUUGUAAAGCCCUUUUGUUGGGAAAGAAAAGCAGUCGGUUAAUACCCGAUUGUUCUGACGGUACCCAAAGAAUAAGCACCGGCUAACUUCGUGCCAGCAGCCGCGGUAAUACGAAGGGUGCAAGCGUUACUCGGAAUUACUGGGCGUAAAGCGUGCGUAGGUGGUGGUUUAAGUCUGUUGUGAAAGCCCUGGGCUCAACCUGGGAAUUGCAGUGGAUACUGGGUCACUAGAGUGUGGUAAAAGGUAGCGGAAUUCCCGGUGUAACAUUGAAAUGCCUACAUAUCGGGAGGAACAUCCCUGGCUAACGCAGCUAGCUGGAUCCACACUGACACUGGCG
rnacentral:rRNA from 1 species